rfam:Xenorhabdus innexi strain HGB1681 (deposited as PTA-6826 in the American Type Culture Collection) genome assembly, scaffold: XIS1_scaffold1
AUGAGUGGCUGAAUUAGAGAUCGGCACUCAUCAUUUUUAAACUAUAUUUGGAGUUAUACUAUGUCUCUAAGUACUGAAGCAAAAGCGCAGAUUAUCGCUGAUUUCGGCCGUGGCGCU